rnacentral:rRNA from 1 species
CACGUAGGGGGCGAGCGUUGUCCGGAAUCAUUGGGCGUAAAGAGCUCGUAGGCGGCUCGGUAAGUCGGGUGUGAAACCCCCAGGCUCAACCUGGGGACGCCCACCCGAUACUGCUGUGGCUAGGGUCCAGUAGGGGAGUGUGGAAUUCCCGGUGUAGCGGUGAAAUGCGCAGAUAUCGGGAGGAACACCAGCGGCGAAGGCGGCACUCUGGGCUGGAACUGACGCUGAGGAGCGAAAGCGUGGGGAGCGAACAGG